rnacentral:rRNA from 1 species
AACGAACGCUGGCGGCAUGCCUAACGCAUGCAAGUCGAACGAGACCUUCGGGUCUAGUGGCGCACGGGUGCGUAACGCGUGGGAACCUGCCCUUAGGUUCGGAAUAACUCCCCGAAAGGGGUGCUAAUACCGGAUAAUGUCUUCGGACCAAAGAUUUAUCGCCUUUGGAUGGGCCCGCGUUGGAUUAGCUAGUUGGUAGGGUAAAAGCCUACCAAGGCGACGAUCCAUAGCUGGUCUGAGAGGAUGAUCAGCCACACUGGGACUGAGGCACGGCCCAGACUCCUACGGGAGGCAGCAGUGGGGAAUAUUGGACAAUGGGCGAAAGCCUGAUCCAGCAAUGCCGCGUGAGUGAUGAAGGCCUUAGGGUUGUAAAGCUCUUUUACCCGGGAUGAUAAUGACAGUACCGGGAGAAUAAGCUCCGGCUAACUCCGUG